CUCAGAAUGAACGUUGGCGGCGUGGAUUAGGCAUGCAAGUCGUGCGAGAAGCCAAUUAGCUUGCUAAGAGGUGGACAGCGGCGAAAGGGAGAGUAACGCGUGGUUACGUGCUCCGAGGUCCAGGAUAGCGUUGGGAAACCGGCGGUAAUACUGGAUGAUAUCUUCGGAUCAAAGGUGUGAUUCCGCCUUGGGAUCGGACCGCGUACUAUUAGCUUGUUGGUGGGGUAAUGGCCUACCAAGGCUGUGAUGGUUACCGGGUGUGAGAGCAUGGCCCGGCUCACUGGGACUGAGACACUGCCCAGACACCUACGGGUGGCUGCAGUCGAGAAUCUUCGGCAAUGGACGAAAGUCUGACCGAGCGACGCCGCGUGCGGGAUGAAGGCCCUCGGGUUGUAAACCGCUGUCAGUUGGAAGGAAGGGCCUGUGCAGAGCAGGUCUUGACCGAUCUUCAGAGGAAGGACGGGCUAAGUUCGUGCCAGCAGCCGCGGUAAGACGAACCGUCCAAACGUUAUUCGGUAUCACUGGGCUUAAAGCGUGCGUAGGCGGCCUGGAAGGUGAGAUGUGAAAGCCCACGGCUCAACCGUGGAAUUGCGUUUCAAACCGCCAGGCUUGAGGAAGACAGGGGUGUUGGGAACUUAUGGUGGAGCGGUGAAAUGCGUUGAUAUCAUAGGGAACACCGGUGGCGAAGGCGCAACACUGGGUCUUUUCUGACGCUGAGGCACGAAAGCUAGGGUAGCGAACGGGAUUAGAUACCCCGGUAGUCCUAGCCGUAAACGAUGAGCACUGGGUUGAGGGGACUUCCACAUCCUCUCGGCCGUAGCGAAAGCGUUAAG
rnacentral:rRNA from 1 species